rnacentral:rRNA from 1 species
UGACAUAGGGAGGUAGUGACAAGAAAUACCAAUACGGGGCAUCCAUGUCUCGUAAUUGGAAUGAGUAAACUUUAAAUCACUUUACGAGUAUCAAUUGGAGGGCAAGUCUGGUGCCAGCAGCCGCGGUAAUUCCAGCUCCAAUAGCGUAUACUAAAGUUGUUGCGGUUAAAAAGCUCGUAGUUGGAUCUAUGAAUGUGAACGCGAGGUCGCUUUAUUGAGUGAACUUUGUGGCGCAUUCUUCCCUUUGGUCGGUGUGUUCGUGCUCUUAAUUGAGUGCGACAUGCUACCAGAAAUUUUACCUUGAAAAAAUUAGAGUGUUCAAAGCAGACCUUUUUGUGUCUGAAUAUUCGUGCAUGGAAUAAUAAAAUAUGAAUUCGGUUCUAUUUUAUUGGUUUUCGGAACUCGAGUUAAUGAUUAAGAGGGACAGACGGGGGCAUCCGUACUCUGCCGUUAGAGGUGAAAUUCUUGGAUCGGCGGAAGACGCGCAACUGCGAAAGCAUUUGCCAAGAAUGUUUUCUUUAAUCAAGAACGAUAGUCGGAGGUUCGAAGACGAUCAGAUACCGUCCUAGUUUCGACUGUAAACUAUGCCAGCUAACGAUCAGACAGCGUUCUCUACGACUUGUCUGGCAGUUUCCGGGAAACCAAAGCUUUUGGGUUCCGGGGGAAGUAUGGUUGCAAAGCUGAAACUUAAAGGAAUUGACGGAAGGGCACCACCAGGAGUGGAGCCUG